AUUGCACGCUGGCGGCAGGCCUAACACAUGCAAGUCGAGCGGAGCAGCGGCCGGGGGAGUAUUGCUUAGGAAUCUGCAUCGUCGUGGUGGAUAACGACCGGAAAUGGGCGCUAUUACCGCAACCUCUCACAUUAGCAUAGGUCGGAUUAGCUAGUUGGUGGGGUAAAGGCCUACCAGGGCGACGAUCCGUAGCUGGUCUGAGAGGAUGAUCAUUCACACGGGAACUGAGACACGGUCCAGACUCCUACGGGAGGCAGCAGUGGGGAAUAUUGGACAAUGGGCGAAAGCCUGAUGCAGCCAUGCCGCGUGUGUGAAGAAGGCCUUCGGGUUGUAAAGCACUUUAAGUUGGGAGGCGUUACCAGCAGAAUAAGCACCGGCUAACUUCGUGCCAGCAGCCGCGGUAAUAC
rnacentral:rRNA from 1 species